UUAAUUGAAGAGUUUGAUCAUGGCUCAGAUUGAACGCUGGCGGCAGGCCUAACACAUGCAAGUCGAACGGUAACAGGGAGCAGCUUGCUGCUCUGCUGACGAGUGGCGGACGGGUGAGUAAUGUCUGGGAAACUGCCUGAUGGAGGGGGAUAACUACUGGAAACGGUAGCUAAUACCGCAUAACGUCUUCGGACCAAAGUGGGGGACCUU
rnacentral:rRNA from 1 species